rnacentral:rRNA from 1 species
CCCGGGCUAACGCGUGGGCAGCUGCGGGGGGAAAACGUAGGGGGGUAGCGUUGUCCGGAAUCAGUGGGCGUAAAGCGCGCGUAGGCGGCCCUGUUAGUACGCUGUAAAAGUCAAAGGCUCAACCUUGGAAUGCCGGUGGAUACUGCAGGGCUAGAGUCCGGAAGAGGCGAGUGGAAUUCCUGGUGUAGCGGUGGAAUGCGCAGAUAUCAGGAGGAACACCAACGGCGAAGGCAGCUCGCUGGGACGGUACUGACGCUGAGGCGCGAAAGCGUGGGGAGCGAACAGGAUUAGAUACCCAAGC